AGUGACCGGAGUACAUAAUGUACACAUGUGAAACCAGUCUUCUGAGCUACUAGCAAAGAAGGCAGAACAUGCUCUGAACUUGAGCGCUGCCGUGUCCCUGCUGGCCUGCCCGCGCCACGGAGGUCCCCCUGCAGCAGGAGAAACUCUGAAGCGGUGUGGAGGCGACACGAGAGCGGGCGGGACCAGGUCCCCGUGGGCGCGGGGUGCGGUGCUGCUGCCCUCUCUACCCGUCCGGGUGUCCCGCCCGGCCCCGGUAGCUCGAGCCUUCUCCAACGGACA